GAUGAACGCUGGCGGCGUGCCUAAUACAUGCAAGUCGAGCGAACAGAUGAGGAGCUUGCUCCUCUGACGUUAGCGGCGGAUGGGUGAGUAACACGUGGAUAACCUACCUAUAAGACUGGGAUAACUUCGGGAAACCGGAGCUAAUACCGGAUAAUAUAUUGAACCGCAUGGUUCAAUAGUGAAAGACGGUUUUGCUGUCACCUAUAGAUGGAUCCGCGCCGCAUUAGCUAGUUGGUAAGGUAACGGCUUACCAAGGCAACGAUGCGUAGCCGACCUGAGAGGGUGAUCGGCCACACUGGAACUGAGACACGGUCCAGACUCCUACGGGAGGCAGCAGUAGGGAAUCUUCCGCAAUGGGCGAAAGCCUGACGGAGCAACGCCGCGUGAGUGAUGAAGGUCUUCGGAUCGUAAAACUCUGUUAUUAGGGAAGAACAAAUGUGUAAGUAACUAUGCACGUCUUGACGGUACCUAAUCAGAAAGCCACGGCUAACUACGUG
rnacentral:rRNA from 1 species